CAGCCGUAAACAAUGUGCGUUAGGUGUGUCGGUAACCACGUGUUACUGAUGCGCCGAAGAGAAAUCGUGAAACGCACCACCUGGGAAGUACGGUCGCAAGGCUGAAACUUAAAGGGAAUUGGCGGGGGAGCACCACAACAGGUGGAGCCUGCGGUUUAAUUGGAUUCAACGCCGGACAUCUCACCGGAUAAGACAGCUGAAUGAUUGUCAAUCUGAAGGUUUUACAUGACUAGCUGAGAGGAGGUGCAUGGCGUCAGUGACU
rnacentral:rRNA from 1 species